UACGUAGGGCGCAAGCGUUGUCCGGAAUUAUUUGGGCGUAAAGAGCUCGUAGGCGGCUUGUCACGUUCGAUUGUGAAAGCCCCGAGGCUUAACCUCGGGGUCUGCAGUCGAUACGGGCUAGCUAGAGUGUGGUAGGGGAGAUCGGAAUUCCUGGUGUAGCGGUGAAAUGCGCAGAUAUCAGGAGGAACACCGGUGGCGAAGGCGGAUCUCUGGGCCCAUUACUGACGCUGAGGAGCGAAAAGCGUGGGGGAGCGAACAGG
rnacentral:rRNA from 1 species